rnacentral:rRNA from 2 species
GGUACUCUAGCGGCGAACGGGUGACUACACGUGAGCAAACUGCCCUAGGCUUUGGGAUAACCCUCGGAAACGGGGGCUAAUACCGAAUAUUCACUUGCGGGCGCAUGUUUGUGGGUGGAAAGUUUUUCGGCUUGGGAUGGGCUCGCGGCCUAUCAGCUUGUUGGUGGGGUAAUGGCCUACCAAGGCGACGACGGGUAGCCGGCCUGAGAGGGCGACCGGCCACACUGGGACUGAGACACGGCCCAGACUCCUACGGGAGGCAGCAGUGGGGAAUAUUGCACAAUGGGCGGAAGCCUGAUGCAGCGACGCCGCGUGAGGGAUGACGGCCUUCGGGUUGUAAACCUCUUUCAGCAGGGACGAAGCGCAAGUGACGGUACCUGCAGAAGAAGCGCCGGCCAACUACGUGCCAGCAGCCGCGGUAAGACGUAGGGCGCGAGCGUUGUCCGGAUUUAUUGGGCGUAAAGAGCUCGUAGGCGGCUUGUCGCGUCGACUGUGAAAAACCGUGGCUCAACUGCGGGCCUGCAUUCGAUACGGGCAGGCUAGAGUUCGGUAGGGGAGACUGGAAUUCCUGGUGUAGCGGUGAAAUGCCCAGAUAUCAGGAGGAACACCGGUGGCGAAGGCGGGUCUCUGGCCCGAUACUGACGCUGAGGAGCGAAAGCGUGGGGAGCGAACAGGAUUAGAUACCCUGGUAGUCCACGCUGUAAACGUUGGGCGCUAGGUGUGGGGGGCCUCUCGGGUUCUCUGUGCCGCAGCUAACGCAUUAAGCCCCCCGCCUGGGGACUACGGCCGCAAGGCUAAAACCCAAAGGAAUUGACGGGGGCCCGCACAAGCGGCGGAGCAUGCGGAUUAAUUCGAUGCAACGCGAAGAACCUUACCUGGGUUUGACAUAGGCCGCAAUCCUGCAGAGAUGUCGCGUCCUUCGGGGG